UACGGAGGGUGCAAGCGUUGUUCGGAAUCAUUGGGCGUAAAGCGCGUGUAGGUGGCUUGGCAAGUCGGUUGUGAAAUCCCGGGGCCCAACCCCGGAACUGCAUUCGAAACUGCCUCGCUAGAGUCCCGGAGAGGAAGGCGGAAUUCCCGGUGUAGAGGUGAAAUUCGUAGAUAUCGGGAGGAACACCAGCGGCGAAGGCGGCCUUCUGGACGGUGACUGACACUGAGACGCGAAAGCGUGGGGAGCAAACAGGG
rnacentral:rRNA from 1 species